rnacentral:rRNA from 1 species
GUGUCAGCCGCCGCGGUAAGACGAACCGUGCGAACGUUAUUCGGAUUCACUGGGCUUAAAGGGCGCGUAGGCGGCGACUCAAGUCUGGGGUGAAAUCCUUCGGCUCAACCGGAGAAGUGCCUUGGAUACUGGGUCGCUCGAGGGGGAUAGGGGCACGCGGAACUUCCGGUGGAGCGGUGAAAUGCGUAGAUAUCGGAAGGAACGCCGGUGGCGAAAGCGGCGUGCUGGGUCCCUUCUGACGCUGAGGCGCGAAAGCCAGGGGAGCAAACGGGAUUAGAUACCCGCGUAGUCC